rnacentral:rRNA from 1 species
UACGUAGGGUGCAAGCGUUAUCCGGAAUUAUUGGGCGUAAAGAGCUCGUAGGCGGUUUGUCGCGUCUGCUGUGAAAACUGGAGGCUCAACCUCCAGCCUGCAGUGGGUACGGGCAGACUAGAGCGCGGUAGGGGAGAUUGGAAUUCCUGGUGUAGCGGUGGAAUGCGCAGAUAUCAGGAGGAACACCGGUGGCGAAGGCGGGUCUCUGGGCAGUAACUGACGCUGAGGAGCGAAAGCGUGGGGGGCGAACAGG